AAGCCUUUUAGCUGCUCUGAGUGUGGAAAAGCUUUCACUGAUAGUGGAAGCCUGAAGAACCACAUGAGAACUCACACAGGAGAGAAGCCAUUUAGCUGCUCAGUUUGUAAGAAAUCUUUUACACAGAGAGAAAGUUUACGGUCACACAUGACAGCCCACACAGGAGAGAAAAGAUUCAGCUGCAGUGUUUGUAACAAAAGAUUUGCCUGGCGUUCUGAUGUCAAAACACAUAAAUGUGUUGGUCAGAUGGAAACAGAAGCUGAUGGAGAGGACUGUGGAGGACCAGAACCAGCCAGGAACUCACAUCCACUUUUACAACCAGAGACUGAAGACCAGACUGGAGACUCUUCUGAUCCUGAGACUGGUGACAUGGAAUAACGUUUGUGCCUUUAAGUCCAAGCUAAACUUAUCAAACAGAAUUCUUUAUGUAUCAACAUCUAGAUAGAAAACAUUAUAUUGUGUGGUAGGAAAAAGUACACUCUUAUUUUAAAUAUUUUAUUAGUC